AUUGAACGCUGGCGGCAGGCCUAACACAUGCAAGUCGAGCGGAUGAAGGGAGCUUGCUCCUGGAUUCAGCGGCGGACGGGUGAGUAAUGCCUAGGAAUCUGCCUGGUAGUGGGGGAUAACGUCCGGAAACGGGCGCUAAUACCGCAUACGUCCUGAGGGAGAAAGUGGGGGAUCUUCGGACCUCACGCUAUCAGAUGAGCCUAGGUCGGAUUAGCUAGUUGGUGGGGUAAAGGCCUACCAAGGCGACGAUCCGUAACUGGUCUGAGAGGAUGAUCAGUCACACUGGAACUGAGACACGGUCCAGACUCCUACGGGAGGCCGCAGUGGGGAAUAUUGGAAGAUGGGCGAAAGCCUGAUCCAGCCAUGCCGCGUGUGUGAAGAAGGUCUUCGGAUUGUAAAGCACUUUAAGUUGGGAGGAAGGGCAGUAAGUUAAUACCUUGCUGUUUUGACGUUACCAACAGAAUAAGCACCGGCUAACUUCGUG
rnacentral:rRNA from 1 species